CGCAAUGGGCGAAGGCCUGACGGAGCGACGCCGCGUGAUUGAUGAAGAGCUUCGGUUUGUAAAGAUCUUUUAUGGGGGAAGAAGUUUAUUGACGGUACCCCAUGAAUAAGGACCUGCAAAACUCGUGCCAGCAGCAGCGGUAAUACGAGUGGUCCAAGCAUUAUCCGGAAUUAUUGGGCGUAAAGGGUAUGUAGGUGGUUAUAUUAGUCUUCUGUUUAACCCCCAGGCUCAACCUGGGAAGGGCAGAGGAAACGGUAUGACUAGAGGUUGUGAGGGGUGUACAGAACUCAUGGUGUAGGGGUGAAAUCCGUUGAUAUCAUGGGGAAUACCAAAAGCGAAGGCAGUACACUGGCACACACCUGACUUUUAUAUACGAAAGCGU
rnacentral:rRNA from 1 species